rnacentral:tRNA from 1 species
UGGGGUGUGGCUCAGUAGUAGAGCUCUGGCCUGCUUUGCUCAAGGUCCUGAGUUUCAUCCUCAGCACUACAA